rnacentral:rRNA from 1 species
GAUGAACGCUGGCGGCGUGCCUAAUACAUGCAAGUCGAGCGAACAGACGAGGAGCUUGCUCCUCGGACGUUAGCGGCGGACGGGUGAGUAACACGUGGAUAACCUACCUAUAAGACUGGGAUAACUUCGGGAAACCGGAGCUAAUACCGGAUAAUAUAUUGAACCGCAUGGUUCAAUAGUGAAAGACGGUUUUGCGGUCACUAAUAGAUGGCUCCGCGCCGCAUUGGCUAGGUGGUAAGGUAACGGCUUACCAAGGAAACGAUGCGGAGCCGACCUGAAAGGGUGGUCGGCCGCCCUGGAACUUGGCCACGGUCCCUGCUCCUACGGCAGGCAGCAGUAUCGUAUCUUCCGCAGUGGGCGGAAGCCUGACGGAGUGACGCCGCGUGAGUGAUGAAGGUCCUCGGUUCGUAAAACUCUCUUAUUAGUGAAGAACAAAUUUGUAAGUAACUAUGCACGUCUUGACGGUACCUAAUCAGAAAGCCCCGGCUAACUACGUG